GUAAUUAAGUACUGCAGUGAAAGCAAACAGGGAAGGACCAAAACUGGCCCUUGAAUCUGAAGAUCAGCAAGCGACUGCUGACCUCUUAAAGGUUUAUCUCGCAGAGGGGGAAUGAAAGCCAGACUAACUGGGUUGAAGUAAAGACAAUGUGCGUAGAAUGCCCUUGAUGGUGUAGAAAGAAAAAACAACCUGAUAGUCUAGUAGGCAGGAGGAGUUGAGGCAAAAACUCAAGAAGAUCUCAAUGUAUUUUUAGGAUGACAGGACAAAGCCAAUAGAGAGGAAGAUAGUGAAGAGCUAAGAGGGUGGGGUCCUAAUCUACUAAGACUACUGUCCUUACAUGAAGAAGUGACACCAGGAUGUGCACCCACAGAGAAGAGACCAUGAAGAGGCAGCAAGAUGGCAGCCAUCUGCCAGCUGAGGAGAAAGGCCUCCGAGUAAAGCAACCCUUAACACUGGGACUUCAGCCUCCAGAACUAUGAGGAAGAAUGGUAAAUGUUACCACUCAAUUUCAGCAACAGAGAAUGCAUAUUUAUAUGUGCUAUUAACUUACACAUUCUGGAACUUUCAAUCCUCUUACAGUCACAUACAAUGUUGAUGGGUAAUGAUUUCUUGGAUGUUUUGACCACCAUUCAAAAACCUCAACAACAUUUAAUUGGGAUCGAGUCUUAGGAGAUUCACUGAACACUUUCUGUGUGCCACUAACAUGCUGCGAGCUAGCGAUAACUAUGCAAGAGAAGUUUCAAUAGAGUGAUAUAUCAAAUGCAAAGAGAUAUGGUAAAAUAAGGACUUAUAUAUAUUCAACAAAUUUGUGAAAAAGAAGUCUCUGGUGACUCUGAAAAACUUACAAUCUAAUGAAGGAAAUACGUAAGUGUUCUAAUAGAGAAAAUGCAUGGAAUAUUUUCCCUUUAUAGGGAUUGGAUAUGGGAGAAUUUCUGAUUUGCCAUUGCUGCCAAUGGCAUAAAAAUGGAUAAAUAAAAAUCUACAUGAUACUUAAAAGGAAAAAA